UACGAAGGGGCUAGCGUUGUUCGGAAUUACUGGGCGUAAAGGGCGCGUAGGCGGUGGUGUCAAGUCAGGCGUGAAAAGCCCCGGGCUCAACCUGGGAACAGCGCUUGAGACUGGCACGCUCGAGUUCGGGAGAGGAUGGUGGAAUUCCCAGUGAUAGAGGUGAAAUUCGUAGAUAUUGGGAAGAACACCGAUGGCGAAGGCAGCCAUCUGGACCGACACUGACGCUGAGGUGCGAAAGCGUGGGGAGCAAACAGG
rnacentral:rRNA from 1 species